rnacentral:misc_RNA from 1 species
GAUGAAGAACGCAGCGAAAUGCGAUAAGUAAUGUGAAUUGCAGAAUUCAGUGAAUCAUCGAAUCUUUGAACGCACAUUGCGCCCGCCAGUAUUCUGGCGGGCAUGCCUGUCCGAGCGUCAUUUCAACCCUCGAACCCCUCCGGGGGGUCGGCGUUGGGGACCUCGGGAGCCCCUAAGACGGGAUCCCGGCCCCGAAAUACAGUGGCGGUCUCGCCGCAGCCUCUCCUGCGCAGUAGUUUGCACAACUCGCACCGGGCGCGCGGCGCGUCCACGUCCGUAAAACACCCAACUUCUGAAAUGUUGACCUCGGAUCAGGUAGGAAUACCCGCUGAACUUAAGCAUAUCAAUAAGCGGAGGA